UAAGCGACUAAGCGUACACGGUGGAUGCCCUGGCAGUCAGAGGCGAUGAAGGACGUGCUAAUCUGCGAUAAGCGUCGGUAAGGUGAUAUGAACCGUUAUAACCGGCGAUUUCCGAAUGGGGAAACCCAGUGUGAUUCGUCACACUAUCAUUAACUGAAUCCAUAGGUUAAUGAGGCGAACCGGGGGAACUGAAACAUCUAAGUACCCCGAGGAAAAGAAAUCAACCGAGAUUCCCCCAGUAGCGGCGAGCGAACGGGGAGCAGCCCAGAGCCUGAAUCAGUGUGUGUGUUAGUGGAAGCGUCUGGAAAGGCGUGCGAUACAGGGUGACAGCCCCGUACACAAAAAUGCACAUAUUGUGAGCUCGAUGAGUAGGGCGGGACACGUGGUAUCCUGUCUGAAUAUGGGGGGACCAUCCUCCAAGGCUAAAUACUCCUGACUGACCGAUAGUGAACCAGUACCGUGAGGGAAAGGCGAAAAGAACCCCGGCGAGGGGAGUGAAAAAGAACCUGAAACCGUGUACGUACAAGCAGUGGGAGCACGCUUAGGCGUGUGACUGCGUACCUUUUGUAUAAUGGGUCAGCGACUUAUAUUCUGUAGCAAGGUUAACCGAAUAGGGGAGCCGAAGGGAAACCGAGUCUUAACUGGGCGUUAAGUUGCAGGGUAUAGACCCGAAACCCGGUGAUCUAGCCAUGGGCAGGUUGAAGGUUGGGUAACACUAACUGGAGGACCGAACCGACUAAUGUUGAAAAAUUAGCGGAUGACUUGUGGCUGGGGGUGAAAGGCCAAUCAAACCGGGAGAUAGCUGGUUCUCCCCGAAAGCUAUUUAGGUAGCGCCUCGUGAAUUCAUCUCCGGGGGUAGAGCACUGUUUCGGCAAGGGGGUCAUCCCGACUUACCAACCCGAUGCAAACUGCGAAUACCGGAGAAUGUUAUCACGGGAGACACACGGCGGGUGCUAACGUCCGUCGUGAAGAGGGAAACAACCCAGACCGCCAGCUAAGGUCCCAAAGUCAUGGUUAAGUGGGAAACGAUGUGGGAAGGCCCAGACAGCCAGGAUGUUGGCUUAGAAGCAGCCAUCAUUUAAAGAAAGCGUAAUAGCUCACUGGUCGAGUCGGCCUGCGCGGAAGAUGUAACGGGGCUAAACCAUGCACCGAAGCUGCGGCAGCGACGCUGAUGCGUUGUUGGGUAGGGGAGCGUUCUGUAAGCCUGCGAAGGUGUGCUGUGAGGCAUGCUGGAGGUAUCAGAAGUGCGAAUGCUGACAUAAGUAACGAUAAAGCGGGUGAAAAGCCCGCUCGCCGGAAGACCAAGGGUUCCUGUCCAACGUUAAUCGGGGCAGGGUGAGUCGACCCCUAAGGCGAGGCCGAAAGGCGUAGUCGAUGGGAAACAGGUUAAUAUUCCUGUACUUGGUGUUACUGCGAAGGGGGGACGGAGAAGGCUAUGUUGGCCGGGCGACGGUUGUCCCGGUUUAAGCGUGUAGGCUGGUUUUCCAGGCAAAUCCGGAAAAUCAAGGCUGAGGCGUGAUGACGAGGCACUACGGUGCUGAAGCAACAAAUGCCCUGCUUCCAGGAAAAGCCUCUAAGCAUCAGGUAACAUCAAAUCGUACCCCAAACCGACACAGGUGGUCAGGUAGAGAAUACCAAGGCGCUUGAGAGAACUCGGGUGAAGGAACUAGGCAAAAUGGUGCCGUAACUUCGGGAGAAGGCACGCUGAUAUGUAGGUGAAGUCCCUCGCGGAUGGAGCUGAAAUCAGUCGAAGAUACCAGCUGGCUGCAACUGUUUAUUAAAAACACAGCACUGUGCAAACACGAAAGUGGACGUAUACGGUGUGACGCCUGCCCGGUGCCGGAAGGUUAAUUGAUGGGGUUAGCGCAAGCGAAGCUCUUGAUCGAAGCCCCGGUAAACGGCGGCCGUAACUAUAACGGUCCUAAGGUAGCGAAAUUCCUUGUCGGGUAAGUUCCGACCUGCACGAAUGGCGUAAUGAUGGCCAGGCUGUCUCCACCCGAGACUCAGUGAAAUUGAACUCGCUGUGAAGAUGCAGUGUACCCGCGGCAAGACGGAAAGACCCCGUGAACCUUUACUAUAGCUUGACACUGAACAUUGAGCCUUGAUGUGUAGGAUAGGUGGGAGGCUUUGAAGUGUGGACGCCAGUCUGCAUGGAGCCGACCUUGAAAUACCACCCUUUAAUGUUUGAUGUUCUAACGUGGACCCGUAAUCCGGGUUGCGGACAGUGUCUGGUGGGUAGUUUGACUGGGGCGGUCUCCUCCUAAAGAGUAACGGAGGAGCACGAAGGUUGGCUAAUCCUGGUCGGACAUCAGGAGGUUAGUGCAAUGGCAUAAGCCAGCUUGACUGCGAGCGUGACGGCGCGAGCAGGUGCGAAAGCAGGUCAUAGUGAUCCGGUGGUUCUGAAUGGAAGGGCCAUCGCUCAACGGAUAAAAGGUACUCCGGGGAUAACAGGCUGAUACCGCCCAAGAGUUCAUAUCGACGGCGGUGUUUGGCACCUCGAUGUCGGCUCAUCACAUCCUGGGGCUGAAGUAGGUCCCAAGGGUAUGGCUGUUCGCCAUUUAAAGUGGUACGCGAGCUGGGUUUAGAACGUCGUGAGACAGUUCGGUCCCUAUCUGCCGUGGGCGCUGGAGAAUGAGGGGGGCUGCUCCUAGUACGAGAGGACCGGAGUGGACGCAUCACUGGUGUUCGGGUUGUCAUGCCAAUGGCACUGCCCGGUAGCUAAAUGCGGAAGAGAUAAGUGCUGAAAGCAUCUAAGCACGAAACUUGCCCCGAGAUGAGUUCUCCCUGACUCCUUGAGAGUCCUGAAGGAACGUUGAAGACGACGACGUUGAUAGGCCGGGUGUGUAAGCGCAGCGAUGCGUUGAGCUAACCGGUACUAAUGAACCGUGAGGCUUAACCU
rnacentral:rRNA from 1 species